rnacentral:rRNA from 1 species
CCGCAAGGUUGAAACUCAAAGGAAUUGGCGGGGGCCCGCACAAGCGGUGGAGCAUAUGGCUUAAUUCGAUGCAACGCGAAGAACCUUACCCAGGCUUGACAUGCCACUGCAAGCUCCCGAAACGGAGUCGCUCACCAGAAGGUGUGGCACAGGUGGUGCAUGGCUGUCGUCAGCUCGUGUUGUGAAAUGUUGGGUUAAGUCCCGCAACGAGCGCAACCCUCAUGUUCUGUUGCCAGCGUGUAACGACGGGAACUCGGAACAAACUGCCCAUGUAAAUGGGAGGAAGGUGGGGAUGACGUCAAGUCAUCAUGCCCCUUACGCCUGGGGCUGCACAUAUGCUACAAUGGCGGCGACAAACGGAUGCGAACUCGCGAGAGGGAGCCAAUCUGAAAAACGCCGUCUCAGUUCGGAUUGGAGUCUGCAACUCGACUCCAUGAAGCCGGAAUCGCUAGUAACCGCAGGUCAGCACUACUGCGGUGAAUACGUUCCCGGGCCUUGCACACACCGCCCGUCACGUGACGAAAGUUGGUUUUACCCGAAGUCGUUGGGCUAACCGCAAGGAAGCAGACGCCGAAGGUAGAGCCG